UACGUAGGGUGCGAGCGUUGUCCGGAAUUAUUGGGCGUAAAGGGCUCGUAGGCGGUUUGUCGCGUCGGGAGUGAAAACACCGGGCUUAACUCGGUGCUGGCUUUCGAUACGGGCAGACUAGAGGUAUUCAGGGGAGAACGGAAUUCCUGGUGUAGCGGUGAAAUGCGCAGAUAUCAGGAGGAACACCGGUGGCGAAGGCGGUUCUCUGGGAAUGUCCUAACGCUGAGGAGCGAAAGUGUGGGGAGCGAACAGG
rnacentral:rRNA from 1 species